rnacentral:rRNA from 1 species
UACGAAGGGGGCUAGCGUUGCUCGGAAUCACUGGGCGUAAAGCGCACGUAGGCGGAUUGCUAAGUCAGGGGUGAAAUCCUGGAGCUCAACUCCAGAACUGCCUUUGAUACUGGCGACCUUGAGUCCGGGAGAGGUGAGUGGAACUGCGAGUGUAGAGGUGAAAUUCGUAGAUAUUCGCAAGAACACCAGUGGCGAAGGCGGCUCACUGGCCCGGUACUGACGCUGAGGUGCGAAAGCUAGGGGAGCAAACGGG